rnacentral:misc_RNA from 1 species
AAGAGCUCCAUUCCCUGAUCGAAACACCACUCACAAGAGCUUACCUCACGCGGGAGCCGCUAUUAUCGCGGGCUAGACUUGCCAUGACACUCAGGUACUUAUCGUCUGGAAUGCAGAUACAGGACAUUGCUCUGGCCUUUAGAGUCGGAAUCUCGACAGCGGCGGGUGUCAUUCACUCCACCUGCAAGAUUCUCUGGACAGCUCUCCAACCCCUUUGUCUAAAGGAGGUGCGCCGAAAACGCUUUUGGCGUGUUGGCAUCAAGGUUUCGGAUAUUCCGAAGAACCAUCAAC